GCUCACUGAUUUUCAAACGUUAGUGUAUGGGGUCGUGAGAUGGAAAUUUACCAAAAAUGCCGUUUCCCGGCCCCAUCUGGGCUGAAGAAUCGGCAUUCCAAACUUUAAACCAGGGGACUCCAGGGGUGAGACCUGAAGCCUGAGAGGAAGUGCAACACUGCAGGGCUCUCAGGAGGGGGGUCCCCUGCUGACGCCUGUGACUAGGCCUAACUAUGGGGGGUUCCGCGGCCCGGUGCUCCACCCUCUCACCUGCCUGGAGGUGCGCUCGAGGUCCAGAUAGGCCGAUGAAUAAGUACAUCUGCAGCGCCUCCUCUACUCCGAGGACUUUCACUUUCCCCCUGGCACAAAACCGAACAUCCCACCCCACCCCCAAGCUAAAAUACCUGGGCCGCCCCUCCCCGGGAAGGGACGCGCUCCGGGCGAACGGGAGGGCCCGGAAGUCGGGCCCAGGACUGAGGAGCCGGCCCACCGCCUCCUGGUCGGAGGCCGCAGUGCAGGUGAGGCGGCGGCCACCCUGGGCACGGCGGGGUAAGGAGCCGAGGGCGGACUGCACCGGGAAGUUGGUGGGGGUCCGCCGCGCCGCCUCGCCUCGGCCUUCCUGCCCCGUCGGGGCUUGCCGCCCGGGACACCAGCGGAGCACGUCUGGGCGGGGGCGGGCCGGCUCACGCCCUCGGACCCUCACCCCAUCCCGGCCAGCCGCAGCGGCGACACCGGGUCAGCGAAGGGUUAAGGAACUCGCUCCCUCCCCUCGGUUCCCUCACCCUUGGAAAGUCCCCGAAAUGACGUUUCAACCCGACAAUUAAAAAAAGAGUUUAAUUAUA